ACCUAAAAUCUUGCUACUUAAAAUGUGAUCUGUAAGCAGGGUUGGGCCUGGUUAGUACUUGGAUGAGAGAACACCUAGGAAAACCUGGUGCUGUAGGUG
rnacentral:rRNA from 1 species